UGUUUAUUCCUCCGUCGCAAAAAAAAUCUUUUUGCUUCCCGCACCCUUCAUCUUUGCCCUGUCUUCCAUAUACCCUUUCAGUAUCCUCUUCUCAGAUCAAAAAAUAAAAUAAAAUAAAAAAGGAAAAAAACUGUCUGCCUUCUCCCAGUCGUCUCUUUCCAUCUCGGAGCCCCAACAGCACCAGCGUGAGAUACCCUCCUCUCUUCUCUUUUUCUUUUUUCUCACACUCGCUCGCACAGACCCUCACAAUCUCUCUCUCUUGGUCUCGCCCUCGCGUUACCCUCACAGUCUGUCUGUAGCAGCGGCGGCGGCGACUUCCCACUGGUUCUCCUUCCGCCAUCCAGCAAAAAUAAGCUUAAAUCAAUGGAUGAGGUCAGAUCUCUUUUGAGCUUACGUGCUUUGAUCUUGAAUGGCUUGAUCAAUUGAAAGAAUUGAACACUUUAGGUAUGAGUUUUCAGUAAUCAAUUUCAUAUCAUGUGGAUGAUAUUAUUGCCCAAUACCCAUGCUAAGCCUAUGACAUAUAACUGAAUCACCUCAUUGCCAGUAAACUUGCUUAACUUAUUUGUUCUUCCAACACUUGUGAUGGUCCAGUUGCUGAGAAUUUGUAUACUCGUGUAUGUAAAUCAGCUUUAAACUAUUGGUUUGUAGAUAUAAUAUAAGCAUAUUAUCUUACAUGAUUUCUAUUGUUAUCUACAGUCUAUAUUUUUUUCAGUACUUUACUCUUGGCUAGUACUAGGUUUGUGUCAAACAAGCAGUCAUUUUUUGUUUCUCUAAACUGAUGGGUAUAUUUAUUGAUAAAUGAGAAAAUUAAUUGUAUUAUGACAUUUUAGAAGCUUCAUAUGAUUUACUGAUAGCAACAUCAUCUAUAUAACCAAUCACCACCUUUGUACAUUGAACAAAAUAUUUCAAUUCAAGCCAAUGAUCUGAGAUACAAUCUAUGCAUAAUAGCAUAAAGUUAAAUGUUUAAUGGACUUUCAAUUUUUUCUUAAGUUGACCUUUCUGUACAUGGCUCAAAACGGAAUCGGGGGUCCAUAUGUUCACCUCAGCCCUGUAUGUUCACAUUGUACAAAUAUUUCAAUUCAAGCCAAUGACCUGAAAUACACUUUAUGUAUAAUAAGGUACAUCUAAAUGUUAAAUGGAGCCUCAAAUUUAUUUAAGUUGACCUUUCUUUUCUCUACAUGGGUCAAAACUGAAUUGUGGGUCCAUAUGAUAUAUGUUUACCUCAGCCAUGUAGGAAGGUUUCUGAACAAUCCAAAUGUGGAUAUAAUGAUUAAACCUUGCCUCAAUGGGGUUUAAUGUGUUUGUAACACAAUUCUGGUACAACUGUAUAGGUGAUGGAAAAAUCAGAAAUGGAACUAAUUUUCUUUUAAUUAUCUUUUCUUUUUUAAUUUUAAAAACCAAGCUUGCACAGGAUGCACCUUUAUUCUUUGUCAAGUCCUGUUAUUUCUAGGUGUAUGUGACUAGACUAGAGUAUGAAAAGCAUGAGAAUUUUUGAACAUGUAUAAGUUGUUUUAUUAAACAAAUCUUGGUUGUGAUUAUAAUUUAAUAAUGAAAAUCUCGUUCUUUAUGAGAGUAGUUCUUACAAUAUACACUGUAGGUAAAUGUUUACUUUUUGAGUUUGAGUUCUUUUUUUGGGUUCUGUAUAAGUUCUUUCUAGAAAUCCAAUCAAUAAACUUGGAGAGUCUCUGGUCAAGGUGAAAUCAAUCACGAAGGUAAGCACUUCUUAAUGGUAAGCUUCAACAUCAGUUUACCCUUUUAGUGCUAGGAUUGUAACUUAUUCAUGAUUCCAGCUCUCUCUAUCUGAUUCCCAACUUGAAGCCAUUGAUUCACUAAAGUCGUGCACUGAGUUGAAAGAGCUCCGACUUGCUCACAAUGAUAUCAAGGAAUGUCAAAUAAUGAAGUUGGCCUGGAGGUUGCAGAUGCACCAAUCUCAUCUGAGAUGCAUGAAUCAGAUUCAUCUUGCACCGAAAACCCUCCAAGUAGUAAAGAUGAAGAAAGCACACCCAAUUUAGAGCAUGUAUUGAAUUAUUUGAAUUCAUUUGACAUGGCUAAUGGAUUACGUUCUGGGAAGGUCCCUGCGAAGAAAAAGCGUGAAAAUGUAUCUCAUAAACAGCACAAGAAGCCUCAGAGGAAAAAAUACCGGUCAUGGAGGGUCGGGGGUGAGGUUGCUGAUGGAAUACCAGUAGUAAGAGUAUUUCAGAAGCCAGCGAAUACGGGUCCACUCAAAGUUGGAUAGGUCCUCUUGUAGCUCAUUGUGGGUGCCACUUUUUUCUUGCUGACCACUAACUGCUACUAGAUCCUCUGUUUUGCUGGUGGCUGGUGGCUGAUGGCUGUUGCUUGUUGGUCUGCUGCAGCUGCUGGUUUGUUGCUGUUGCCGCCCUUGUGGCUGAUGCUUGUUGGGCUACUGCUACUGCAAUGUUGCUGUGAGGCGGCUGCUACUAGAUGUUGGUCUGCUGGAUAAGUUUGUGGGUGAUUUUCAUGCCGUUUUGCCUGUCUUUGUUAGUUUCAUGUUUUCAUUUUGUUAUCUGUUGUUUCUAAUGUGGGUUCACAAUUUGGAUGUAUUUGGGUAUUUUAGUGAUUUUAUCCUUUUAGGUUUUAUACAUUGCUUCUAAAAGCAGUAUCAAUAGUGUUUUUUUUGAUUGCACAUCAACUUUAGGUGAUUUCAUAUAAAUGUUAUUAGUUUGUAAUAGUA